UUGGCUGGGUGUUGUUUAACGCCGCACUCAGCAAUAUUCAGGCUAUAUGCGUCUGUCUGUAAAUAAUCGAGUCUGGAACAGACAAACCAGUGAUCAACAGCGUGAGCAUCGAUCUACGCAAUUUGGAUACGAUGACAUGUUUCACCA